CUCUUUCCAAAACUUCUUUUCAUCUCUACACGAUAAUCUAAACAACCCUUUCUCUUCUCUUGCCCAAGUUGUUUUUGGAACCCUAAUUUUUGCUGACAAAAGCCUGCUUUCUUGAUAAUUUGCAGUUUUCUGCUCUGUUGGAACUAUGUCUCUUUCUCUUAUACUUUAAUUCAAAUUUCAAACAACAUAAUUAUUUUCUCUUUCUCUCCCGUCCUUUUUUUCUUUCUCUCUUUCUCUCUGACCUUUUAUUCUUCAUCUUCAUCUUCCGCUUCUUUGUUCUUUCUUUUCUUAACUUUGUUUUAAUGUACUGUUCUACUAUUAUAAAUAACUUAAGAUGCAAUAACGGGUGGAGAUUCAAAUGAAGAAGGAAGAGCAGUGGACAGGAAGAGCAGUGGAUUUUCAAGAGCUGCUUCUGUGUAUAGAGGUGUGACAAGUUUUUCAGACACCAUAAACUUGGAAGGUGGCAGCCUCUAAUCAGAAGGGUUGUUGGAAACAAAGACUUGUAUCUUGGUACAUUUAGCACACAAGAGGAGGCUGCAGAAGCAUAUGAUAUUGCAGCAAUCAAGUUUAGAGGAACAAGUGAUGUGACCAAAUUUGACAUCAGUAGAUAUUUGUUUCUGUGAUUUGUUUAUGUUCUUUUCUCAUUUUUGUUGCCUACUAUACAAAGAUUAUAUAAGGUGCAUUGUAGAGCUCACUUGAACUGUAUAUUUGUUACAGCUAUCAGUUUUUAUGUUGGCAUAAAUAAGUUUUUAGAUUUUACAGAUUGCAACUUGAAAGCUACUAUGUUGCAGCCACAAUGUAGAAUAUAAUGGGCAUCUCUUGCUGUCAAACAAAUGAGUAGUUUUAUGGUGCUUAUCCAUAGGCACAAUUUGUUGCAUAAAAUAUAGUGUUGUUCUUACUUAAAAUAUCAAACAAUGAUGAUCUUAUGGGAAUAAAAAAUCAAGUAAUUUCUAAUUCUCUAUAAUGGAAUAAACUCAAAAUAUUUUUCACUUUAUGCAAUUGAAAUAGGUUCCUACUUAGGAUACUUUCUAUUAAUUAUUGUGCUUUCUAAUUCCCAAAUAUAGCUUAUUAGACUGCACAGAUUUUCUAAUAUUUUUUGGUUCAAAAGUUUAGAGUGUCUUUGUAUGAAUCUUCAGUUUAGAUCUUACAUUUGAUUUGAAUUCAAUAAUGAAUAAAGAAAAUGUGAAUGAAUGAGACCUGUAUUGAUAUAUGUGUAUAACAAACAAAUUGAAAUAACAUAUGAAAUUGAAUUUAUAAAUUAUUUAUGAAUAGUUGAGAAGAGAGAUGAAAACAAGCCCAUAGCUUGCAAUCACAUUCUAUAAUUUAUGAAUUAUUUAUGAUUAGUUGAGAAGAGAGAUGAAAACAAGCCCAUAUCUUGCAAUCACAUUCUAUAAUUUAUGAAUUAUUUAUGAUUAGUUGAGAAGAGAGAUGAAAACAAGUCAUAGUUUGCAAUCACAUAUUCUAUAAUAUGACCAAAUGUUGUGGAAGUAAUAUGAAUUUCUUGAUAUAAUAAUAUGUUGUUAUAACUUAGACCAUCAAAAAUAUAAUGUAUCUAAUUACUUUUUGACAUUUCUUGAUAAUAUAUGAAAAAUCGAAAUAUAUAAUAUUGAUAUAAAACAAUUUUAUUUUGAUUUUAAAAAUAUAUAUUUUUUAAAUAUAAUAAAUUUUGAAAAAAUAAUUUUAUUUUUUUAUUUAAAUUUUUAAAACAUA